rnacentral:sRNA from 1 species
GCUGGGCACAGUAGCGCAUGCCUGUAAUCCCAGCAGCCUGGGAGGCUGAGACAGGAGGAUCACAAGUUCAAAGCCAGCCUCAUGAGGCACUAAACAACUCAGUGAGACCCUCUCUUUA